AGACCCAUUCCUUCUCUUUCGAAACCAGACCCGUUCUCCAUUCCUGUUUCCUCUCUUCCGAAACCAGACCCAUUCUUCUCCUCCAUUCCCUUUUCCUCUCUUCCGAAAUCAAACCCAUUCUCCUCCUCCAUUCUCAUUUCCUUUCUUCCGAAACCAGACCCAUUCUCCUCCUCCAUUCCCAUUUCCUCUCUUCCGAAACCAGAUCCAUUCUCCUCCUCCAUUCCCGUUUCCUCUCUUCCGUUUCCUAACCCAUUCUCCUCCUCCAUUCCUAUUUCCUCUCUUCCGAAACCAGAUCCUCUCACUUCCAAAUCGUGGCAGAAAACCCCGUUGGCGCAAGAUCUUCUACUCCACUCCAUGGCAGGAGAAGCAAAGUGCCAAUUCUUCAUAUAGGCAGAUAUACUUCAACUAGUAGAGGAUAAAAUUCGCUCAAGAGAUAAUGCAAUGAGAAAAAGGGAGGACAAUAUAUUGUUGCGCAAAUAUGAAGUUCAGAAAAAAGAAGAUAAACUAGGUGAAAAAAAGAAUGUUCUUUACAAGCAAGAGGAAAAAAUUGGGAAGCAAUCGUAGAGAAUAGAUGUGCAUGCAUCUUUUUGUGUAUGUAUUGGAUGUUAUCAAUUGUAAUAAUUUCUUGUUGGCUUGGACCAUAAAUGUAUUUGGUGGAAGUUAGUUGUAAAUGGAUAGUUGGGAUUUAAUAUGACGCUUUAUAUUUUGAA